AAUGUGUGCUCUCCUUCUGGGGGUAAAACAUAUCGUAAUAAUAUGUGCAUCAGCAAACAAGAGUUCAGAUUCACUACAGUGUACGUGGACAACAACUGCAAAGUAAAACGGGUCAUCGCAGAGACGAAGUACAUCAUUCUAGCCUGUGACGAACUCGAAGGUGACUGCCUUCCCGUCCAUUUCGAGGCCAACAAGAAUAACACUAGACCGGACCCGAAUAGUCCAGACUGCAAAAAUCCGAAAUACCGGAACCACACGGAAUUUGCACAUCCAGCUCUGGGCCUUCUAACUCUGGCCCUGCUGAUUGCAGCCCUGACCCCCUUUUAUAUGAUUGUAAUAACUGUCUUAAAUUGUAUGUGUGUUUGUGUUUAGAGAAAUGAAUUGAACCAAUAGGACUGGGUAAAUAUGCAGCUUUGAAAAAUUGAGAAAUUAAGAUGAAAUUUUCAGUGGCUUUUCAUUAUAAAACCAGAUGUUUUACACUUUUAUAUUCAGUAUAUCUUAUAUUACAUCUUAUAUAAUCUUACAUAUAUAUUAAAUUCAAUAUAUGAUUUCCA